rnacentral:rRNA from 1 species
UGGGGAAUAUUGGACAAUGGGCGAAAGCCUGAUCCAGCAAUGCCGCGUGAGUGAUGAAGGCCCUAGGGUUGUAAAGCUCCUUUACCCGGGAUGAUAAUGACAGUACCGGGAGAAUAAGCUCCGGCUAACUUCGUGCCAGCAGCCGCGGUAAUACGAGGGGAGCUAGCGUUGUUCGGAAUUACUGGGCGUAAAGCGCGCGUAGGCGGUUUUUUAAGUCAGAGGUGAAAGCCCGGGGCUCAACCCCGGAAUAGCCUUUGAAACUGGAAAACUAGAAUCUUGGAGAGGUCAGUGGAAUUCCGAGUGUAGAGGUGAAAUUCGUAGAUAUUCGGAAGAACACCAGUGGCGAAGGCGACUGACUGGACAAGUAUUGACGCUGAGGUGCGAAAGCGUGGGGAGCAAACA